CAUCAAUCAAUCAAACGAGUCAGCGAAUAAAAAAAGAGCACAAACAAAAAACCACAUCACUUCAUUAACAGUUACUAGUACUGCUCUGUAGGCCACCCUGCCAGUAUGUAGUGAUAGCAGAGGAGGGGAAAGAUCAGCUCCUCACUGCUUUAGUACAUUUAGGGCAUCAUACGCCUUCAAAGAGGGGGCAAUUAUUUAUUAUCGCCACUAAGAGUUCUUCGGUGACAUGAAGCUGAACUUUCUAAUCACAAGCUUCAUCAUCAAAGGUUCCACCUUACAUGGUGCAGCAACCUCAGGUACCAGAACGUAACCGCUACACCAUAUAAGGUGGAAUGGGAAAUUUUGCCAGGUGGUGACCGAGACAUCAGCGUAUUACUAGUGAUUUUUACGGGCGUUAUGAAGGAAAAGACCAUAAAACACUAUUACAAUGGUUCUUACAACACAGCAGCUUUUAAACAGAGAAAUACCUACGUUUGUGUCUCUUUGGCCGCUUGUGCAGCCAUCUUGCCGAUGAUACGCAGAGCAUUCGGGGAGUUUUCUCAUAACACUCCGUUUGUAGUGUUGCCUCUGAAAAACCUCUGUUUGAAGGGCCAUGUAGCCCUAACCCUUCACCCUACCCCUCCAUCUCAACAACAAUCCGGACAACCCUACCUCUAGAUGUGAAUGCGCAAAACGGAGGGGUAGGGCUAAGUGUUAAGGGCAAGGGAUGAAAUGGGAUUGGGCCUAAAGAUCCUAUUUUUCAGGUGCAAGAACAGUAUACCUUUCAUUCGCCAUCUUUGCAUUUUGUUUAGGUGUAAGCACAUUUCUGCGAAUUUGCAGACAGUUGGAGAUCACAUGAUCGAGCAAGGAAAGUCGGACUCUAUUUUGGUCCAACCUGAACCAACCUACAGAAUUCUACACAGGAUCACAUGAUGCCACAGCGGUCCUGUCAGAGAUCACAAUCCCCAGACUAUUGACGAUUUCUGCCUGACCCUUUUGUAUUCUCCCUUCUGGCCUGUGUUUGACUAUUUUUGCCUGGACUCCGGCUUCGAUUUGUGAUUUGCCCUUUCUGGAUAUAUCUGUCUUGUUGCCUAUUAAAACCUCCUGUCUUCUUAUCUGCAAGCGUCUGGUACUCUGUCGCCUCGUCACAGAUUGAUGCAACAGGAGGCAAUUAAAAUACAAUAAAAGUUUUUUCAAACCCA